rnacentral:rRNA from 1 species
GGACGAACGCUGGCGGCGUGCUUAACACAUGCAAGUCGAACGCUGAAGCCCAGCUUGCUGGGUGGAUGAGUGGCGAACGGGUGAGUAACACGUGAGUAACCUGCCCCCUUCUUUGGGAUAACGCCCGGAAACGGGUGCUAAUACUGGAUAUUCACUGAUCUUCGCAUGGGGGUUGGUGGAAAGGUUUUUUCUGGUGGGGGAUGGGCUCGCGGCCUAUCAGCUUGUUGGUGGGGUGAUGGCCUACCAAGGCUUUGACGGGUAGCCGGCCUGAGAGGGUGACCGGUCACAUUGGGACUGAGAUACGGCCCAGACUCCUACGGGAGGCAGCAGUGGGGAAUAUUGCACAAUGGGCGAAAGCCUGAUGCAGCGACGCCGCGUGAGGGAUGACGGCCUUCGGGUUGUAAACCUCUUUCGCUCAUGGUCAAGCCGCAGCUKUGGGUUGUGGUGAGGGUAGUGGGUAAAGAAGCGCCGGCUAACUAC